UACGUAGGGGGCAAGCGUUGUCCGGAUUUAUUGGGCGUAAAGAGCGUGUAGGCGGCUAGGUAGGUCCGUUGUGAAAACUCGAGGCUCAACCUCGAGACGCCGAUGGAAACCAUCUGGCUAGAGUCCGGAAGAGGAGAGUGGAAUUCCUGGUGUAGCGGUGAAAUGCGCAGAUAUCAGGAAGAACACCCGUGGCUAAGGCGGCUCUCUGGAACGCAACUGACGCUGAGACGCGAAAGCGUGGGGAGCAAACAGG
rnacentral:rRNA from 1 species